rnacentral:rRNA from 1 species
CAACUUUCAGCAACGGAUCNCUUGGCUCUCGCAUCGAUGAAGAACGCAGCGAAAUGCGAUANGUAAUGAGAANUGCAUAAUUCAGUGAAUCAUCNUAAUCUUUGAACGCACCUUGCGCUCCUUGGNAUUCCGAGGAGNAUGCCUGUUUGAGUGUCAUUA